GUAGGGAAUAUUGGACAAUGGGGGGAACCCUGAUCCAGCCAUGCCGCGUGGAGGAAGACUGCCCUCUGGGUUGUAAACUCCUUUUAUAUGGGAAGAACCGUCCUCAUUAAUGAGUGACCUGACGGUACCAUAGGAAUAAGCACCGGCUAACUCCGUGCCAGCAGCCGCGGUAAUACGGAGGGUGCAAGCGUUAUCCGGAUUAACUGGGUUUAAAGGGUGCGUAGGCGGAUAAAUAAGUCAGUGGUGAAAUCAACGGGCUCAACCUGUUAACUGCCAUUGAUACUGUGUAUCUUGAAUAUGAGAGAGGUAGGCGGAAUGUUGCAUGUAGCGGUGAAAUGCUUAGAUAUGCUACGGAACACCGAUUGCGAAGGCAGCUUACUAUUUCGUAAUUGACGCUGAGGCACGAAAGCGUGGGUAGCGAACAGGAUUAGAUACCCGUGUAGUCC
rnacentral:rRNA from 1 species